UGGAGAAUUCGUGGCUCCGAGCUGUCCCAGGAUAUCAGACCCUGCAUCACAGGGGCAACUGUGAGACUGCCAGGUUCUCUUCGAGCAGUGUCUGUGAGCUGAGCCUCCGCCGUGGCAUCAAGAGGAACCAUCAGACCGAUUUGACCUGUGACUUGGCAGUGUGUCUAUGCAAGGACGGUUGUUGUGAUGCUGAAUGGCAGGGUCCCUUUCAGCAGAAGAGAUUGAAGACUUUGAAUGUAUUGGAUACAGAGGAGCAAAGCUGCCACAGAGAGAAUCUGAGCCUGUGGGAUUGGAGAACAGGUAGGGGAAACAAAGCUCAGAAUUUCAUGGCUAGCUGUUUUUGGAAAUGCAAUUCUUUUGCCCUGUCGAUCACUCAGGCAGCCAAUUGGUUCACCACUUGGAGGCUCACUGCCCAAUCUUCAUUAGAUCCACGUUCACAAAUGGAUUUCCAGCUGUUUGGAAGACUGAGUAAGCAGUGAUUAGGGAUUGGAAAUCUUAUGGAGUUCUACGUAAUCCCCACCUACCCACCAAAAAAACAUGCAGACAAAGUGGUUUAGAAGGCAUAUGGAACACUUUCCUUUAUUAGUUGAGGUGUGGAGUUUAAGAAAUGGGAGACUUUGGUGGAACUGUAUAAAAUGUUAGUAAGGCCACAACUACAGUAUUGCAUACAGUUCUAGAACCCACAUUAUAG